rnacentral:rRNA from 1 species
CAUGUGCACGCUCGAGCCCUUAAUCCACUUUACACCUGUGCACUUAAUGUAGGUCGCCCUUAAAAAAGGUGACCUAUGUCUUAUCAUCAACCCAUCGUAUGUCUCAUAGAAUGUAAUCGAUAUCCUCGCCCUGAAAAAGCGUUGAUAAACUUAUACAACUUUCAACAACGGAUCUCUUGGCUCUCGCAUCGAUGAAGAACGCAGCGAAAUGCGAUAAGUAAUGUGAAUUGCAGAUUUUCAGUGAAUCAUCGAAUCUUUGAACGCACCUUGCGCUCCUUGGUAUUCCGAGGAGCAUGCCUGUUUGAGUGUCAUUAAAUUCUCAACUCCAAGGGUUUCACGACCUUUCGGAGAUUGGACUUGGAGGUGCUGGCCGCAUAUUGGUCGGCUCCUCUCAAAUGCAUCAGCGGAAUUCAACCUUUGGCUUCCGGAUGUCAGUGUGAUAAUCAUGUUGCGCUGUCGUUUGAUCCCUCAGAGUCCGCUUAUAAUGGUCUUCGGACAAAAUCAUCAUCAAAUUUGACCUCAAAUCAGGUAGGACUACCCGCUGAACUUAAGCAUAUCAAUA